rnacentral:lncRNA from 1 species
GGUGUAGCAGCUGCUACACAGUAUGGUAAAGAGAAGGGACAACAGGACAGGAAACUAUCCCAAAACAGGAGAGUGUGACUUGGAACUGCAUGGCAUCUGCUAUCCCAACCAUGGGCUAUUCCCCAAUCUCAGAGCACUGGACACACAAACACUUAAAAGAGUGCAGCUUUGUGUAUGGCUUAUAACUGGGAAGAACUUUUAACUUUUGGAACUGACCUGAGAAUUUACUAUACUGGUAACCUAUCCAAGAAGAAAUGGAUUCCCUUGCUCCGCUCUUCUCUGUCCCAUUAACAGCAAGUGGUUAACAGCAAAGACUUUGGAGAAAGCAACACCUAGAUUUUUUUUGUUUCUUUUGAGACAG